rnacentral:rRNA from 1 species
CGGUGACAAACCGGAGGAAGGUGGGGAUGACGUCAAGUCAUCAUGGCCCUUACGGCCUGGGCUACACACGUGCUACAAUGGUCGGUACAGAGGGUUGCCAAGCCGCGAGGGGGAGCUAAUCCCACAAAACCGAUCGUAGUCCGGAUCGCAGUCUGCAACUCGACUGCGUGAAGUCGGAAUCGCUAGUAAUCGCGAAUCAGAAUGUCGCG